ACAUUCUUACAGCAUAGAAUUAAUGCAUUAGAUCCCAUUAUAACUCUGCAAUUCAGCACACUCAAGCUAGAGUAGUACUGAGAUGGGUGACUUCUCGAGAAGUCCUAGUAUUUUUCAUGUC
rnacentral:rRNA from 1 species